GGUACAACUGCCACCAAAAUUCUGCUGGACAGACUGCAGUGCAGAAAUUGUUGCCCUAAUCAUUGCUGCUCAAGUUAAUUGCCAUUAACUAAUUUGACAUUCAGCAUCUCUUUAAAAGGAAGUAAGCUUCAAAAUGUUGAUUUGUAACGUGAGGUGACAAACAGCACCACCAGAUAUGUGAAAAUCAUCAGGAAAAAUGACUCCAUGAAUAUUUAGACCUUUACGAAGGGUUCUCAUAGACAACACUAAGUUCCACACAUUUACUUUGCUAGAAACUGUAUUGGAAGCACAACUGGAUUAAUCUCUGCUCCACAGCAUGGGCCCAGCUGACACCUGGAAAUUGUGCUCUUCUGAGAGCAAGGACAGCUGCUUCUGCUAUCAGCCACACCUCGUCAUCAGUGCAGCUGUGACCGUAAGGUGUUGAGGUUUACUUAGUGAUAGCAGUGUUUAACGUCAUGUACAUCACUUCUGAGUCAGAAGUUCAGCACCACGGGCAAGUAUUCUUGUGUUUCCAUGGAGGAGCACCUACCGUGACACCAGAUUGUUAAAAGUGUAAAAGAAAGAGGAAUUAAGGGAGAAGAGAACUGGGAGGAAGGAAAGCACUUUGAAUUUAUUCCCUGUAUUACAGACGUUUGUAAAAUAUCCAGUGCUUGAACCCUGAGUAUGUGGUCAGAAUUUCCUCUCACUUUUGUAUGACCUACUGAGCAAACAUUGGCUUGUUGACGUAUAAUAGCUGCCUUCAAACAGGAUAUUAUUCAGCACUCUAAUAUAAUCUAAAAUCUAUUUCAAAUAGCCAGGUUAAUCCCCAUCACCUGUGAAUGGAGAAUAAAAAAUAAAUUAUUCACAACCCAUUCCUUCCUAGUAAAUUCCCAAAGAUUUAACGUGGCUGGAAUCAAUUAAACUGCUGUGCUGUUCCUUUAGGGUCUUAAGUAUUUAACUUCUCAGUUUGGACUUAAACAUGGACAGUGGCAUGCUUUUCCUGGAAUGGCAAACAGAAAUGCAUUACUGAGGAAAAGGGCUACCCCUCAUAUCUCACAGGGGCCAGCUCACCAGCAGAUGUGUUUUCAACCUGCCAACAAAUUGAACAAUUUGCUCAUCCAGACAUCUCCCAAUGGCCAGGAUUUCCACAAAGUGAGAACUACAAAUCUCUCUGAGCAACUGCGGCUGACCCUGUCUCUGUUAUGGGAAAAAGUAAUCAGUAGCCAAACACCUCCAGAGCUCCGUGAGCUGGGAGAAGGCUUUAUUGGAUCAAAACCCCUCUUUCAUGAGCUCAUACUCUGGAGGGCACUUGCAGUUUCGUAUGCAGAGUGUCAGAGUCGUAACCAACAUGUCUGCACCCUAGGCUGACCUCUGUAAAGCAGAGAUUUAAAAAAUGGAAAUGAAAGUGAGCACACUGUUGUGAAUGUGAUGUGCCCACUUCGCUCUUAAUCCGCUGCAGUUGUUAGUGAGACUUCGCUGCUGCAAGCUGCAGGUUGCUCACCAUCACCUGGGGACAGCUUAGCCAUUUACUGUCCUAAUGGGGCUUGAAUGCAGGGUUCAGUCUGCUGAAGUUAAAGCUUGCUAGCACCGAGGACUUUCCCUUCCUCCUUCCAAACAUAAGAUCGCUGCUUAAAAACACUUUGUGGGAAAUUCUUCCUCCCUCUUCAUGCAAUCCUACCAAGAGCACCCUGGCCUGAGCCUACCAUCAAGUUAAUAUAUGGGAGAUGUGAUGUCAUCUACAUAAUUUGUGUGCUGCAAGAAGUCAUUUUCCCAGGAGUGUUCGAGGCAGUUGUAGCUUUAAGGCCUGUGCUUCCUAAUUUAAAGAUAAAGUCAGUUGCUGGCAAUUUGUGCCUUAAAGCAAAUACUUCAAAGGACAGAGAGAAACCUUUAGUGUCCUAAGUCUCUCGGGACUCAUCCCCUUGUAUAAUACCAUGUGUUUAUUCUUGAAAUAUGUUUUACUUUAUAUGUAUAAAUAUAUAUAAGUUUGUACAUAUGUAUUUGCAGAAAAGGAUGCUGAAAGGAUUAAGGUCUGUGGACUUCAGAUAAUGAAACACUAAAAAGACCGUAACACCUAGAAUUCACGGGAUUCUGCCUCAAAGUCAAAAACCCAUAAAAGAAAACAAACCAACAAUGCUGCAGAUUUCUCUUAGUCUUGGCUCAAAAACUAGCUCUGGAGUUUUUCAAAGGCUUCUAUUCAUAGCAAAAAAGUUUAUGUAACUUUUUCUUCUUCCAGCAAGUUUUCAUUUCAUAACAGUUUUAUCUCCAGAGGUAAAUGUUAAGAGGCCCUCCGCCGCCCUCAUCCUCUGGGAGAAGCUAUCACUGCAACGUGAACUCCCAGCCUCAUAUCGUGCCCAAACACCAGGCGUUUUGAAACAAGCUGAGUGCCUUUACAGAGCUUUUGAAGGUGACUCAAGUAGGAGUGGAGAGAUGUGUGUGUUCAGAGAGACAGCUCACCUUGGGUGAGCCCGUAACCCACUCUUGGUUCAGUCCUGCGGGGGCCAGGCAGUGCCCCUGCACCCCAAGCAUCACCAGACUGCAGGUCCUGGAGGAUGUGGGCCAGGACANNNNNNNNNNGGAGAUCAGAGCCUCCUGCUAGCAAAACUCCUGCUGGCUUUGAUGGAAGAAGGGGCACAAGAAAG
rnacentral:lncRNA from 1 species